UGAUUCCAUGGUUGUGGUGGCUCACAAUGGGUGUGGGUAAAGCAGGUCUCCAGGCUGUGACAUCCCUGAGGGGCAGCAGCUUUCAGAGGAUCCUGCUGGCCUGGGCAGAGCUGCAGGUAUUGGGGCAGAGCCAAAGCAGAGCAGAGCUUUGAUUCAGUCUCAGCCAGAUGGAGAUUUUCAGGCUUUGAGUUCCAGAGCAAUGGAGCAGCUCCAGCUGGGAUUUAUCUCCCUGAGCAAUGACUGCAAAGGAUGGAAGUUCUGAGAAGAGCUGCCUUUGCAGUGUGGGCUUGUGCUCCCUGAGGGCAAGGAGCUCGAGGUACCAUCAGAUCCAUCAGAUCAGCCUUGCUGGGGGUGGGAGGGCCAGCUCUGCCCUGCCUUCCUCUGCUGUGUCAGGAAGCAGUGACACGAGGCCUGAAUGUCCUCAAGAAUGGCUGGGACAAGUCAUCUCUAUCACCUGGGUAUUUCCACAUGGAAUUAUAGAGAAACAUCACGGA